CGCGCUCUGCGAGGGCUCGUGCUGGGGGAGCGCUCCUGGCUCGGAGCAGAGUAGACUCUGGCCACACAGCCCCUCCUGGGAAGCUUGGGGCCGCACCAACAGGCUUGGUGCCCUCAGCUGGGAAGAACUCCGCUGAAGGGUGGAGGGCUGCGCUGCUGCUGCUGCGGAGAUCUUGGCCGAACAAGGCCGGGACCCCUGGGUGCGGCUGAGGAGCCGUCAGGAGGCGCUCUGCCUGGCCCCAGCCCGGCCUCCAGGGGACUCUCCCUGGGGACCCAGGAGGCCUGGCUCACGUUUCUUAUUUAUAUAGAAGACAUUUCGCUCCUUUUGUACAUUUUUAAUGGGCCAGCAGGGAAGCCUCAAUGCAGCCAAGUCAGUGAGCCCACGUGGGCUGUGAGGACGAGCCUGGGACCUCUGGAGAGGGAGGGGAUUUGAGGCAAAGAUGGACAAGAAUCCGCCGUCAAAGCUUCUAUCUUUCUUUGAAUUACAUACGCUUCCCACAGGGCUGUGGGUGCUGUGCAGGAGCCAGUGGGGACACAGGAGGCAAAUGAAACUUUGAGCAGCCAUCUCGGACCCUGACUACAGGUACUAGCCUUUCUGAGCAUGGUCGUUUAAAAAAAAAGAAGCGGUGUCUCAUUUAAAGGUUGAGCAAACACAUCUGUGGUGACGGAUGGGGAAGUUUCAAAGGUGACUGAUAAGUUUUGGCCCGACUACCUGGAUGAAUUAAACUGUUCAUUGCUAGGUAGAAUAUUCAUGGUAAGAGUUGCAUUAGAGAUGGUGGUGAGAAUCAAGGGGCUUACUUUUUUUGAAACGUUAGUGUUUAGUGCCUGGGUUUACCAGACUGAAUCCCAGGGGAAGAGUUGAAACCUCAUCUCCUUAGAGAUGAUAUGUAUGUCUGAGAAAUCACCAUGAGGCCAUCUAAGAAAUGAGUUUUCUAGAGAAGAUAACAGGACAAAGACUGAAGCCUGGGGCACUUCAACCUUUAGAGCUCAGGAUGCAGAGGAGUCCUAAAUGAGGCUGAGAAGAAACAGUGAAGGAAGGGGAAAAUCAGAAUAGUAUGGUGGUUCCAGAGGCUAAAUUAAGAAGUAUUUUGUAAGGAAGGAAUGAGUGAUCAGCGUUAGCAAAUGCUGCAAAAACAUGAAGAUAGUAAAGACAGUGGCCCGAUGGACCUCACCAACACGCUAAACCCAACAAGGAGGAUUAAGAAGAGAUUAGAUGGUGAAGGAAUGGAGAGAAUGAUCACAGACAAGAACUUUUGAGUUUUGCUAUAAAAAGAAGUAGAGAAAUGGGAUACAUACAGGGGGUAAGGCGAAAGAGGAGAGUGAAGGGCAUAUACAGAGGCUGACACGGGGCACCCUCCUCUGUCACCCUUCACCUACUCAUGAUGAGGGUGGAGGCCAACCCCGCCUGUGAGCUCCUGCUGCAAUCCAGCUCCGCCAAAUGCCUUCUCUGAAAGAGACUCCUGGAGUGCCUGGAGAGCUGCUGGAGGGGUUCAUCAAGAGGAUGUGACUGCUGCUUCAUCUGUGAGCUGGACCCAGGCAAUCAGAGGCUCCUCACCCCCUCCCUGGACCUUGGCAUGUACAUUUCACCCACUCUUCCCAUAGUGGAAACCGUUUCAAGGACGCAGCCUUGAGAGAGCAAUGUGUUGUUGAGACCAUCAGGACAGUAUACAUGACUGAACCCAGUAGAGGCCUCUGUGUGAACUUUUAAAAUUCUGGUGGGUGGAUACAGAGAUCUCAUCUUGCAGCCAAUCAAGACAAGACUCAUAAUGUAAAGUCCCUUGCUUAUUAAACCUGCCACCUCACAGUCUGGAGUGGUUUACCUCUUUCUUCAGUCUCUCCUUGCCCUCCAUGUAUAGGGCUCAGUUUCAGAUUUUACCUGAAGAACUCCUGGGGUUGGGAACCACAAGAGUUCCUCAGAUUCCAGUCCCCUGGCCCCUGUGACGCAACAUAACAUCUUCAUUGGCCUCCUUAAUGAAUAAUGAGGAUAAUUUCACUUCCCAAGAAACACAUAACAACUUUCCAAAAUUGAGUGUCAGUUUAUAUGCAAAGCCUAUUGAAUGGCUUCUGGUUGGUCAAGGGGAGAAAGGAGAGAAGGUGUUUUGCGGGGGAAGGGAGGUGUGCAUGUGUCUGUGUGGUUGGGGAUUGAAUCGAGGAUAGGAGUCAAGAAAAUCUUCUGCCUGAGCAUCACAUUCAUGGAGGAGCUUGAAUUUAGAAUUCUGAUAUAAUUUCCAAAUUAGUUUAUGUGUAAACUCACAAAGGUACACUUGAAAGAUAGUCAUUGUUUCAUUUCUGUCCUAUUUCUGGAUCAUACUUCCUGUGGUGUAUUGUGAAUUAUUUUAAAAAUAAAUGCUGUACUUACCUCAUAGACAACAUAA
ensembl:lncRNA